AUUGAACGCUGGCGGCAGGCUUAACACAUGCAAGUCGAGCGGUAGCACAGGGGAGCUUGCUCCCUGGGUGACGAGCGGCGGACGGGUGAGUAAUGUCUGGGAAACUGCCUGAUGGAGGGGGAUAACUACUGGAAACGGUAGCUAAUACCGCAUAACGUCGCAAGACCAAAGAGGGGGACCUUCGGGCCUCUUGCCAUCAGAUGUGCCCAGAUGGGAUUAGCUAGUAGGUGGGGUAAUGGCUCACCUAGGCGACGAUCCCUAGCUGGUCUGAGAGGAUGACCGGCCACACUGGAACUGAGACACGGUCCAGACUCCUACGGGAGGCAGCAGUGGGGAAUAUUGCGCAAUGGGCGCAAGCCUGAUGCAGCCAUGCCGCGUGUGUGAAGAAGGCCUUCGGGUUGUAAAGCACUUUCAGCGAGGAGGAAGGUGGUGAGCUUAAUACGUUCAUCAAUUGACGUUACUCGCAGAAGAAGCACCGGCUAACUCCGUG
rnacentral:rRNA from 1 species